CAUCAGAUGACUGAAA
rnacentral:tRNA from 7 species